rnacentral:misc_RNA from 1 species
AAAAGUCGUAACAAGGUUUCCGUAGGUGAACCUGCGGAAGGAUCAUUAACACUUUUUAUUAUUUUGUUUUUUUUCUAAAACAAAAUUUAAAACCCCACAAUUUUGGAUGAAUUUAAUUAAUUUAUUUUUUAUUUUAUUUUUUUUUAUUAUAACCCUAUUAUUUGACUAACAUUUUUAUUUAAUUAUUAAAAAUUAAAAAAACAACUCUUAACAACGGAUAUCUUGGCUCUC